UCUUCUUAAAAGAAAGGAAAUUGUCCAGGAGGUCUUAGAUAUUUUGUACGAUAUGUACUUGUCUAAAUUGGAGUACAACAGAGAGCAUACUGAACCGAACAAUUUUAAAAGAAGCGAUCAAGAGAAUGUUCCGAAAAUCCAAACGAGACCAAGGAGAGGAAAAGAAGUUAGGUUCCAUCAAUGCUAUUUCAACCCUGUCUCCUGUUUCUAAAUAUUCAACCUGCCAACUGCCGUCCAUUAAUAUUAGUAGAAACAUUAUCUAAAAUAAAUUCAAUAAAUUUGAGGCUGAUAA